rnacentral:misc_RNA from 1 species
GUGAAUCAUCGAAUCUUUGAACGCACAUUGCGCCCGCCAGUAUUCUGGCGGGCAUGCCUGUUCGAGCGUCAUUUCAACCAUCAAGCCCCCGGCUUGUGUUGGGGACCUGCGGCUGCCGCAGGCCCUGAAAACCAGUGGCGGGCUCGCUGUCACCCCGAGCGUAGUAGUUACAUCUCGCUCUGGGCGUGCUGCGGGUUCCGGCCGUUAAAAAGCCUUAUUUACCCAAGGUUGACCUCGGAUCAGGUAGGAAGACCCGCUGAACUUAAGCAUAUCAAUAAGCGGAGGA